UACGAAGGGGGCUAGCGUUGUUCGGAAUUACUGGGCGUAAAGCGCGUGUAGGCGGGUCUUUAAGUCAGGGGUGAAAUGCCAAGGCUCAACCUUGGAACUGCCUUUGAUACUGGCAAGCUAGAGUGUGUCAGAGGAUGGUGGAAUUCCCGGUGUAGCGGUGAAAUGCGUAGAGAUCGGGAGGAACAUCAGUGGCGAAGGCGGCCAUCUGGGACAACACUGACGCUGAGGCACGAAAGCGUGGGGAGCAAACAGG
rnacentral:rRNA from 1 species